rnacentral:lncRNA from 1 species
AUGGGUCGGUUUGCUUUAGAAAAAUGGUAUAAUUAAGGUGGCUUGAUGGUAAGUUAGUUCCUAAAUAACUGCACGGAUUAAGAAAUUGAUGAAAUGCAUUUAAAAGAUGGGUGAGAGAGAUCAGUUUCCUCUCAGGGUGGCUUAGAAGUAGAACUAGUAAGUUCGGUAGAGGCUGCCAGGGGCACGAUUCCUGAUUCAUCAACUCAAAGAGCAUGCAAAAUCCCAGGACAUUAGAAGAUGGAUCAGAAAGUGUAGUGUUCUUAGGUUUUUCUCCUAGGAGAAGAGCAGGGGAGGUUCUUUUCUGCAGAAAGGAAGAAACAACCUCAGCAAUUUCCAAACGAAAAGGCUGGUGUCCCAGGGAUGAUAAAAAGCAGAGGUUGUGUGUCUGUCAAGCCCACAUGCAGGUCUAGGUGCACUCUGCACCCUGCUCCAGGAACUGGGAAGACUCGAGCAUGGGGAAUGCAGUUGAAACGCAUCUCUGAACCCCGCUCCAGGAACUGGGAAGACUCGAGCAUGGGGAAUGCAGUUGAAACGCAUCUCUGAACCCCUUUUUGAGGAAGAAGAAGGAAACAGAGAAACAGGAAGAGGAGGAGGAGGAAGCUGGGCCUGCUUACUCGGGGCUGGUGGACCAUUUUCUUAAAUAAGGCAUGGCGCUGGUCUGACAUUAGUUUAACAAGAUCUUCAGAAUGAUAAUUAGUGUCAUCAUUGUCAAGUUCAAGUUCUCCUGACUUGUUGAAAAGCCAAAAAUACAUAUUGUGACAGGGAAGUUCCCAUCAAAGAGUAGUAAGGAGAAUACCAAUUGGGAAAGGACAACUUCAUAAAAAUAAACAAGUAUGGCAUAAUGGUUUGUGAAGCUGAUUCUUCUGGAAUGAAUAAUAAAAGCAAAAUACAUGAAGGCACCCAGUUCUGUAAGCUCCUAAAUUCAAAUACUCCAAUAUGAUUACCUUGAUUAAACAAUAAAUAAAACAUACCCUGAUGGGUAAUUUUGUCAUGGAGCCUCUACAUUCUUAAUGAAAUCCAUCUGAACAUUGCUUAAUACAGUCGUAGAAGAGUGCUAAUUUAACCUGACUUCAACAAAUGCUUUAUUUUACCUCAUCUACAUAAAUAAGGUGUGUUCACAGUUCUAAAACAUGACAUGAAUAUGAAGAUUAAGCUACACAUUGGAUUGUAGGGGAGGAUACCUGGAUUUGGCUCACUCCACUAAACCAAAAUAUCACCAGCCAUUAUUAUCUAAAAGAAAUACUGCACACAUCUCAGCUGAACACUGAUUUUUCCAAAUGCUUUACGUUUAAAAAAUAGUAAUAAUGUAGUGUUUGGAAAUAAUGUGUAAAAAUAGAGUGUGAAGCAUUAUUAGGAACAGAUUUAUAAACAGAGGCAGAGGGUAUCUACAUGAAAAAACAUGGCUAAGCUCUGCUAAUAAUCAAGUCUUUGAAACAAAAGCUCGCUGGAUCUUUAGCUCCUCCAAAGCAAGAGAUUUUGUUCAUUCAUCUUCUUAUCCCCA